UAGUUUUAUGACGAAAAUCAGUUCUGUUCAAAUUAAUUCCUGAACACAAUUCAUACUUUCCUGAUAUGUGAAAUUUGGUUCUAUAAACUUGCUGUUACUGGAGAAAGGCAUCCAGGUAGUCCAGUCUUAAUGGUCAACCAACUGAAGGAGAAGAAAAAGGUCAUCCAUCCACAGUGAUCAAGAAGACAUACAGAUCAGUUUUGCACCAAGAUAUUAUGUCAAUAUGGGAGGAAGAAACCAGAGAUUCUUCAGCCAGUCCUUAUUAACGGAUCAGAGGUGGAGACAGUCAGUGACAGUAAAUUCCUUGGUGUUAUCAUUUCAGAGGAACUGGCCUGGGAUCAGCAUGUAGGUGCCAUUACAAAGAAGGCAUGAGAGCACCUCUACUUUCUUAGAAGCUUGCACAGAUUCAGCAUAUCAUCUAAAUCAUUGACACACUUCUAUAGAUGCACAGUGACUGGUUGCAUCGUGGCCUGGUAUGGAAACACCAAUGUCCAAGAAUGCAAAGACCUACAGAAAGUGAUGGAGACAGCCCAGCCCAUUACAGAAAAAGCCCUUUUCUCCAUUGAACACAUCUACUGUACAAAGAGCAUUGCCACAAAAAGCAGCACCCAUCAUCAAGGAACCCCACCAUCCAGGCCAUUCUCUCUUCAAGGGAAAGAAGUACAGUAGCCUUAGGUCUCACAUUACCAAGCUUGGAAACACCAACUCUCAAGCUCCUAAACCAGUGUAAAGAACUUCACUCAACACUGAACUGAGUCCACAACCUACAGACUCACAUUCAAGGACUCUACAACUCAUGUUCUCAGUAGUAUUUAUUUACAUACUUUUUUGUAUCCGGAUAGUGUAUUUUCUUUUGCACAUUGAUUGUUUGUCAGUCUUUGUGUACAGUUUUCCAUUGAUUCUAAUAAAAACACAAAAU